CCUGGCAGCAGCGACCGUCCCGACCAGUCAAUGCUGGCCUACGCAGGCAUGGGAUGAGGUGCCGCUAUUGAAAUCAGGUCCAUCUGGAUCCGUGUGGAAUGUGGAAGGAGCCACAUGUGCAGCGGCGCUGGCAUACCGUGAGAAUAUGAGAGGAUGGUUUCUCUGCUUCUGCCACAACUCAGGGAACAAGGCCGUUGGAUGAGGUGCUAGGACCGCUGAUGAGGAGGCCUGGCGGAGCAGGGACCCUGACCUGCGCUCACAGAAACACCCAUCUGCUCCGCAGUCCAAGCCUCAGGAAUUGCAGGGGGAGGUCUGGACACCGUGUGAAGACAGCUGGGGAUGCAUCUGCAAACUGAGGAGCCACGAUGGCUGGGGGACCCCUAGGAGCUGGGGGAGGCCUGGAGCAGCCUCUCCCCCACAGCCUCAGGAGGAACCAGCCUGCCGAACCCUGACCUCGCACUUCUGGCCCCCAGAGCUGUGAGAUAAUAAAUGUCUAUUGUUUAAGCU